rnacentral:rRNA from 1 species
AGAGUUUGAUCCUGGCUCAGGACGAACGCUGGCGGCAUGCCUAAUACAUGCAAGUCGAGCGAACAGACGAAGUGCUUGCACUUCUGACGUUAGCGGCGAACGGGUGAGUAACACGUAAGGAAUCUACCUAUAAGCGGGGGAUAACAUUCGGAAACGGGUGCUAAUACCGCAUAAUAUCUUCUUCCGCAUGGAAGAAGAUUGAAAGACGGCUCUGCUGUCACUUAUAGAUGACCUUGCGGUGCAUUAGUUAGUUGGUGGGGUAAAGGCCUACCAAGACGAUGAUGCAUAGCCGACCUGAGAGGGUGAUCGGCCACAUUGGGACUGAGACACGGCCCAAACUCCUACGGGAGGCAGCAGUAGGGAAUCUUCCGCAAUGGGCGAAAGCCUGACGGAGCAAUGCCGCGUGAGUGAAGAAGGCCUUCGGGUCGUAAAACUCUGUUAUAAGAGAAGAACAUAUUGUAGAGUAACUGCUACAGUCUUGACGGUAUCUUAUCAGGAAGCCACGGCUAACUACGUGCCAGCAGCCGCGGUAAUACGUAGGUGGCAAGCGUUGUCCGGAUUUAUUGGGC